GACGAACGCUGGCGGCGGGCUUAACACAUGCAAGUCGAACGGAAAGGCCCUGCUUUUGUGGGGUGCUCGGGUGGCGAACGGGUGAGUAACACGUGAGUAACCUGCCCUUGACUUUGGGAUAACUUCAGGAAACUGGGGCUAAUACCGGAUAGGAGCUCCUGCUGCAUGGUGGGGGUUGGAAAGUUUCGGCGGGUGGGGAUGGACUCGCGGCUUAUCAGCUUGUUGGUGGGGUAGGGGCUUACCAAGGCUUGGACGGGUAGCCGGCCUGAGAGGGUGGACGGCCACAUUGGGACUGAGAUACGGCCCAGACUCCUACGGGAGGCAGCAGUGGGGAAUAUUGCACAAUGGGCGGAAGCCUGAUGCAGCAACGCCGGGUGCGGGAUGACGGCCUUCGGGUUGUAAACCGCUUUCGCCUGUGACGAAGCGUGAGUGACGGUAAUGGGUAAAGAAGCACCGGCUAACUACGUG
rnacentral:rRNA from 1 species